AUUUUCUGCCACCGAAUACAUUAGCAUGGGAUAAUGGAAUAGGACCCUGUCCUCCUAUUUUCAGUUGGUUUUGGCAGCGCGAGGACUAGGGUAAUGAUUAAUAGGGAUAGUUGGGGGCAUUAAUAUUUAAUUGUCAGAGGUGAAAUUCUUGGAUUUAUGAAAGAUUAACUUCUGCGAAAGCAUCUGCCAAGGAUGUUUUCAUUAAUCAAGAACGAAAGUUAGGGGAUCGAAGACRAUCAGAUACCGUCGUAGUCUUAACCAUAAACGAUGCCSACCAGCGAUUAGGAGACRUUGAAUACAAAACACCACCAUCGGCGCGGUCGUCCCUGGSUCGUCGUCUCACGACGGCGGGCGGGGGCGGUUUAGCCCGAUGGCACCGGUGAAUGAYUCCCCUAGC
rnacentral:rRNA from 1 species